CUAACUGGAGGACCGAACCGACUAAUGUUGAAAAAUUAGCGGAUGACCUGUGGCUGGGGGUGAAAGGCCAAUCAAACCGGGAGAUAGCUGGUUCUCCCCGAAAGCUAUUUAGGUAGCGCCUCGUGAAUUCAUCUUCGGGGGUAGAGCACUGUUUCGGCUAGGGGGCCAUCCCGGCUUACCAACCCGAUGCAAACUACGAAUACCGAAGAAUGUUAUCACGGGAGACACACGGCGGGUGCUAACGUCCGUCGUGAA
rnacentral:rRNA from 1 species